CACCAAUCACCUGUAGAGAGCUCAUGGCCGAUGAGCUCACUUUCAAUGGCAGAAGUUGAGGUUUAAAACAAAAAUGGUUCAGAAGGCAGGAUGCCAAGGUUAAGAUAGAGAUUUCUAGAAGAGGGUGUGGAUAAGUCUAAUACGACGUGACAGGAAGGAGCGGCUGUCAAGGAAGGAAGAUGGAGAAAACUGCAUUGAUUUAUAAAGAAAAAUGUUGUUUUCCUUGGAAGAGGAGACUUGGUACGUCACCAAAUAUUCUUGCAAAUUUCUAGAGAUGUAUGGCGGAGGGCAUUCUGACUGGUUGCAUCACAGCCUGGUACGGAGCUCCAGUGCACACGAUUGCAAACGGCUGCAGAGGGUUGUAGAGUCAGCCAGUUCCAUCAAGGGCACAACCCCCUAUGUCAUCGAGGACACCUUUAAGAGUUGAUGCCUUAAGAAGGCCGCAUCCACCGUUAAAGACCCUCAAUGUCUGGAGCAUGCCUGCUUUACCUCAGGGAGGAGCUACAGGAGCUUAACGACCCACACUCAGCAUUUUAGGAAAAGCUUCUUUAACUACGCUAACAGAUUUAGUAAGUGUUCCAUGAACACGGCCUCAACAUUCAUCUUUUGCACAGUUUGUUUUGUAAUAGUGAUUUUCAUAUAUUGCACUGUACUGCUACCACAGAACAACAAAACUUCACACCAUGUGCUAGUGAUAAGAAAUCGGGUUCUGUUUCUGAUUCCUUGUUUUCCCUGCCCAACUGAAAAGUUUUCAUUCAAUUUUGAAUUCUUUUUUGCUUUUCUGGUGUGCAGUCGAAUCAGCACUGGAGGCCUCACCGGGUCGGGGAGCAAGAGAUUUAAAUAAAGGAGCUUUCGCAGCAUUCUGGCUUUUUUUGACGGUCUGGACAUGAUUCAUUAGCAAGUACAGAUAAAAAUAAGGCAGGGACAAGUGGAGCAGCCAUUGUUGGAGUGCACCAGUGUUAAAGUGGGGAGGCUUUGGGUCGUCAGGCCUGAUGUACAUAACUGGAAGAUCAUUGGAUAUUCUCCAACCUCCUGAGCCGUCUUCAACUGUGGCUAAAGAGGAUACAAAGACCUCCAUCAAGUAAUCUCUCCUGUCUCUCUCAAUAGUCUGGGAUGGAUUCCACCAGGCCCAAGGGAUUUAUCCACCUAAUAUUUUUCAAGAUAUCUGACAUUUCCUCCUAGACAUGAGAAUAUUCCAGAACAUCAGCAAUUACUCCCUGACUUUCUGCGAAGGCUGAGAAAAGUCCAUCUCCCACGCCCCCAUCCUCACCACAUUCUACAGAGGAGGUAUCGAGAGCAUCCUCAGCAGCUGCAUCACUGCCUGGUUCGGGAAUUGCACCGUCUCGCAUCGCAAGACCCUGCAGCGGAUAGUGAGUCAGCUGAGAAGAUCAUCGGGGUCUCUCUUCGUGCUAUUACAGACAUUUACACCACACGCUGCACCCGCAAAGCUAACAGUAUUGUGAAGGAUCCCACACACCCCUCACACAAACUCUUCUCCCUCCUGCCAUCUGGCAAAAGGUACCAAAGCAUUCGGGCUCUCACGAUCAGACUAUGUAACAGUUUCUUCCUCCAAGCCAUCAGACUCCUCAAUACUCAGAGUCUAGACUGACAUCUACAUCAUUUAUUAUUAUAUUGUAAUUUCUCCUCUACUGUGCCGAUUGUCUUGUUUAUUAAUUAUUGUACUGCCCUGUACUGUUUUGUGCACUUUAUGUAGUCCUGUGCAGGUCUGUAGUCUAGUGCAGUUUUUAUGUUGUUUUACAUAGUCUAGUGUAGUUUUGUGUUGUUUCAUGCAGCACCAGGAUCCUGGAGGAACGUUGUUUCGUUUUUACUGUGUACUGUACCGGCAGC